rnacentral:lncRNA from 1 species
CAGCACCAGGCCCCGAAGCUGGUCUUGGCAGGGACUCGGGUCCUGCCGCCUCAGGGCCAUUAGCCUCCAACAUGCAGCAGGAACUUAGUCACCCUGCCCGGGACAGUCGCUCUGGUCUAAGGAGGCUCGCGGGUUGAGUCUGGCCAUGGCAACCCAGAAGCGCUGCGAUCCCAUACUCCGCGCCUAAAACUGGAACAGGUGUGGACGGGACAGCAGCUGGAUCAGCCUGUAAGGAACGGUGUGCGAGACAGAGGACCGUGGCGAUGGAAGCUUUUUGAAUCGUGGUAACCAUGUGCUUUGGGCUGUGGAAUCCAUAUUGAGUGAAAUUAAUUGGAAGAAAACCAGAAGGACUACAAUCCUGAGGACUCACGGACAGAAGGCAGACGAUGACUGCGUAUUUGCAGGAAGACCGUCAUCUGCAGAACCUGAUGCACCUGAAUUCGAAUCUUUCUCAGCCACUUGGCACAGGCCUGUGGCCGUGGCACGUCAGACAUGCUCGCUUACGCUCCCACUCCCAGACCUUAAAACAGAGCUGCCCGUCCCCGUGCGUGGUCAUCCUGCUGGUCAGACGGGGCUUGUGACAGUGGACGGUGGUGGAAAGGACCCGACAUGGAACAUCGGCCUCUACUGCCUUGGAACCCUUGUGACUCCGAAUGAGCCGCCCAAUGUCAUCAUUAGAAAAGUGGCUAUAUUCACACUGUGGGGGUCGCUGGGUCGUUACGCUUAAGUGAUCUGAGUUGAUACUGCAA